rnacentral:rRNA from 1 species
AGCGGAGGAAAAGAAACUAACAAGGAUUCCCUUAGUAACUGCGAGUGAAGAGGGAAAAGCUCAAAUUUAAAAUCUGGCAGUGUUUCACUGUCCGAGUUGUAACCUAGAGAAGUGUAACCUGCGCUGGACCGUGUAUAAGUCUCCUGGAAUGGAGCAUCACUGAGGGUGAGAAUCCCGUCUUUGACACGGACCACCAGUGCAUUGUGGUUGUGCUCUCAACGAGUCGAGUUGUUUGGGAAUGCAGCUCUAAAUGGGUGGUAAAUUCCAUCUAAAGCUAAAUAUUGGCGAGAGACCGAUAGCGAACAAGUACCGUGAGGGAAAGAUGAAAAGAACUUUGGAAAGAGAGUUAAACAGUAUGUGAAAUUGUUGAAAGGGAAACGUUUGAAGUCAGUCGCGUCGGUUGGGGAUCAGCCUGACAUUGUUGGGUGUACUUCCUGGUUGACGGGCCAACAUCAGUUUUGAUUGCCAGAAAAAGGCCAAAGGAAUGUGGCACCUUUGGGUGUGUUAUAGCCCUUGGUCGUAUAUGGUGGUUGGGACUGAGGAAAGCAGCGUGCCGAAAGGCCGGGUUUCGACCACGUUCACGCUGAGGAUGUUGGCAUAAUGGCUUUAAGCGACCCGUCUUGAAACACGGACCAAGGAGUCUAACAUGCAUGCGAGUGUUUGGGUGGAAAACCCUUACGCGUAAUGAAAGUGAAAGUUGAGAUCCCUGUCGUGGGGAGCAUCGACGCCCGGACCAGAACUUUUGGGACGGAUCUGCGGUAGAGCACGUAUGUUGGGACCCGAAAGAUGGUGAACUAUGCCUGAAUAGGGUGAAGCCAGAGGAAACUCUGGUGGAGGCUCGUAGCGAUUCUGACGUGCAAAUCGAUCGUCAAAUUUGGGUAUAGGGGCGAAAGACUAAUCGAACCAUCUAGUAGCUGGUUCCUGCCGAA